ACUUCGGUCCAGUGGAAAGUGGCAGACGGGAGAGUAACGCGUGGGAAUCUACCCAGCAGUACGGAAUAACCACGGGAAACUGUGGCUAAUACCGUAUACGCCCUUCGGGGGAAAGAUUUAUCGCUGUUGGAUGAGCCCGCGUCGGAUUAGCUUGUUGGCGGGGUAACGGCCCACCAAGGCGACGAUCCGUAGCUGGUCUGAGAGGAUGAUCAGCCACACUGGAACUGACACACGGUCCAG
rnacentral:rRNA from 1 species